GUUCGUAUUUAUAUGGAUGUCAUUGAACACUUUGACUAGGCCAUGUUCAUGCUGUGGUAACCAUGGAAACCAGACUGGAAGCAGUCAAAGCGACUGGUUAUCGUUAGGAAGUUAUUUAACUGUU